ACGAACGCUGGCGGCGUGCUUCACACCUGCAAGUCGAACGGAAAGGCCCCUUUGGGGGUACUCGAGUGGCGAACGGGUGAGUAACACGUGAGUAACCUGCCCUUGACUUCGGGAUAACUUCAGGAAACUGGGGCUAAUACCGGAUAGGAAUCCUUGCUGCAUGGUGGGGGUUGGAAAGCUUCGGCGGUUUUGGAUGGACUCGCGGCUUAUCAGCUUGUUGGUGGGGUAGUGGCUUACCAAGGCUUUGACGGGUAGCCGGCCUGAGAGGGCGACCGGCCACAUUGGGACUGAGAUACGGCCCAGACUCCUACGGGAGGCAGCAGUGGGGAAUAUUGCACAAUGGGCGGAAGCCUGAUGCAGCAACGCCGCGUGCGGGAGGACGGCCUUCGGGUUGUAAACCGCUUUCAGCAGGGGCGAAGCUUGUGGUGACGGUACCUGCAGAAGAAGCACCGGCUAACUACGUG
rnacentral:rRNA from 1 species